GGAGAUGGUUUUAUUUAUUAAAUUAAAAAAUUGUAUUAUAGGUCGUGAAAAGUCAAACGAGUCAAAAUUUAAAACACCAAAGGUUAAUAAAAAAGUAACAUAGACUUAAUGAGAAUUGAGAGAACAGACACAAUAUAAUUAGGGAGAGUAAAGAGAAGGCAAAAGUGUGUUGCAGUAAACACGAUCCCAACACUUUUUCUAUUUUAGUCUUACGAUACUUGGAAAAAGAAAAACUUACACCUCGUUCAAUACUAUUAAGAAUUAGAAUUAGACAAUUGGAGAAGGCUGGUCUCGAGACCAAGUAUAUUAUUCAUGCACCCUCGCCCAAACGACAGCGUUUCACUCUAUGAAACGUAAAUAAGAGCUUACGUGACGUGACGUUACCAAGCAAUGUGUUGUCAAAUCAGGUAUAAAUACCUGUUUUAAAAUAUAAAAAAAAAAACCCAAUAUUCAAUUUACUACACCGCCAUAACAUUUUCUCUCUCUAACCACAACUUUCUCAUCACUAUAAUUCCUCUAAAACCUCCAUAAACAUUCUCCAAAAGCUUAGAAAUCACAAAAUUCAUACGUAAUCAUGGAUAUUAGAGAAGAAAUUUGAUGGCGAUAACACAGUUUCUGGAAAUUAGCGUAAAAAAUCAAGAGGAGCACGAAUUUCGUCUUCAAUGCCUCAAUCAAAGACCAAAAAUGACAAGAUUAAAAG